AUGAUUGCUAAGGUGGAUCGCUACCUAGCUGGGUGGCGUUCCCGCCUGCUCUCUCCUUCAGGGAGGCUCGUGCUGAUCAACGCCGUCCUCGACGCCAUCCCGUCCUAUGCCAUGUCCGCUCUGCGCCUCCCGCCCAAGGUCGUGGCUGCGCUCGACUCUCUCCGCCGCUCCUUCCUCUGGAACGUGGCGGACCGCGCCUCGGGUGCCCAAUGCUUGGUUGCCUGGUCCAAGGUUUGCCGGUCGAAGGCGGAGGGCGGGCUGGGGGUGCGGGAUAUCUCAGCUCAAAAUGACUGCCUUCUACUCAAGCUGCUGCAUCGGGUCCAUGCUACGGCCCCCGCUCGGUGGGCGCGGUGGCUCUGGACGGAUCACCACGGGCGCUCGCUGCUUGGCGCUGGCGCGGCUGCGCGACAGAGGACCGCACUGGUCGGACUUGCUGGCGCUUCUUCCCCUCUACCGUGGGCUCACCAGGGCCACUGUUGCCGGGGCUGCCGGCCCUCCUGGUCCCGCGUCGCUGCCCGGGAGCUGGCCGAGGUGCUCUCGUUGCUGCGUGCCUGCCCGGCCACGCCCGCUCCGGACGGGCGCCGGGCCGUCUUCUGUGGCGCCCCUCGUGGUGCUUUCUCGUCAAGAUCGGCGUACGCCCUGCUGCGCUUCGGCGGCGUCUCGUCGCCGGCCGCCGGCUUCCUGUGGAGCUCGGCUGCCCCUUCCCGUGUGAAGUUCUUCGCCUGGCUGCUCUCCCUGGCCAGGAUUCACACCCGGGACGUCCUUCUCCGGAAAUCUAUCGUCGACGCCCAGGGGGCUGCCUGCCCGUGCUGUCCGGCCUCUUUAGAGACGGCCGACCAUCUCUUUUUUGAGUGUGGGGUGGCCGUACGUUUCAGGCGCUGCAUCGGCGUCGACCCGCGUGCCGGGAGGGCCCGCGGCCUCCAUCUCUUCGACGUCCGGCCGGCGGUAGGGGAGGCCUCGCCGACUGCUUUCCUCCUCCUCUGCGUCUGGCACCUCUGGAAACGGAGGAAUGCGGUGGUGUUCCGAGGGGAAAACCCCUCUCUGAGUGCUACUCUCAAAUGCUGUAGGGAUGACGCGGUGCUCUGGCGGGGUAGGUUUCGCGAGGAGGAUCGUGGUCACAUCGAUGCUUGGCUUCUGGCGCUCGCUGCACCGCGUGUCGUUCUGACCGCGCCCCCUUGUAUCUGCUGCUUGGUGGGAAUAUAA
rnacentral:rRNA from 1 species